UCAUAAUCACCACCUACCAUUGGAAGAGGACCAUGGAAUGGGUCAGGUCCUGGUUCAGAUACAAUAUAAAAGGGUAAGGGUAUACGUCGAAAUAGAUGCUGCCUCUUUCGCUUCUUCUUAAGCUCCCAAGAUGAGGCAAACCUCGCUUUCCAAUUGGUCUUUCCCUGUGAUCCUGCUCCAGUUCCAAAUUCCUCAGUAAAUUUUUUCUUCCAUAAAUCAUUGUUUGAAGACAUAUACCGCAUCUCUUUACUCACACAUGCCAUUCUUGCAAUAUCAACACCAGGAAGUGACUCCAAAAUCCUGAGCUUUAGGUCUGCUGGAAGACGCACCAAGCAUGGGGGAAGACCCAAACCAGUCUUUUCACAAAGAUCUAUCAACAGUGGCAAAGCAAGCUGAUCCUUCACAAUUUUCCAAAGCUCAAAAACUUCAUUUUCAGGGUAAUACCUAGACGAUCCAUCAUUCUCAUUCAUCCUAUCACCCUUGUCACAAUUUACCAAGAGGCAACCAAUAGAUGGCACAAAUCUAGAUUUAUUCAAGCACGAUCUAUACAGGCACUGAUUCUUGGCCAAUGACCCAUAGACAUUGACAAAAUGCCCCAAAGUCUGAAACCUCAAAAUGACUGAUUCAGUAACAGUAUCAUCAAGUAAAAGUUCAGGAAGAGUAUAACUAACUGACGUAGUGAAGGACAUAGAAGACUGUUCUUCCAGGAGAUGAAACAGAUCAACUCGCAAUCCAGAUACUGAAUCAAACCCAACAAAACCAGAUUCUAAGAAAACAGCGUGAAUAGCUAUAAACAAGAGCUUAUUGUCACUAAUAUCAUCACCCAGUUCUUCCCUCAAUACCCUCUUCAAGAAACACGGCUCAGAAAUCCUCUUGAAAUCCACAUCCAAAGACCCAGUAUCAAUAUCCAUGCCUUCUUCACUUGACAAUUCUUCGGUUUCUAGGAUUUCUCCCAUCUGCGUAUUUGAUAUAAGAGACCGUUGUUCUUCAAUAACUUCAUCACCCGCGUCAGAUUGACCUUCUACGGGCAAAUCCAGAAUUAGGGUUUUCUCAAUUGAAGCACUAGUUCCUAGGAAUUUCGUUUCCUUUACAGACAAAUCUUGAUCCGGGGUUUCUUGUUUUCCAGUCAAAUUCGGACCAAAAGUGCUAGAUUCUUUGAAAUUCAUGGAUUGUGCUUGAAGAUUACCUCGUUGAGCUCGACCCUCUUCCUGCAAAGAUUGACCCGAGCCUGAAACUACCAUUUGAGGAGAACGUGAGAACACAUCUGGGUUGUGAGAGAAAUAGAUAAGGUCUCCGGAGGUGAUACCGAGAGAUUGCAGAGAGUCCUGGAGUGAGGACGAGGAGAGCUCCUCCUUUCUGUUGAGAGAGAAACAAAAAGAAGAAGAAGAAGAAGA
rnacentral:misc_RNA from 1 species